rnacentral:rRNA from 1 species
AUUGAACGCUGGCGGCAUGCCUUACACAUGCAAGUCGAACGGCAGCACGGGAGCAAUCCUGGUGGCGAGUGGCGAACGGGUGAGUAAUAUAUCGGAACGUGUCCAGUUGUGGGGGAUAGCCCGGCGAAAGCCGGAUUAAUACCGCAUACGACCUACGGGUGAAAGCGGGGAUCGCAAGACCUCGCGCUAUUGGAGCGGCCGAUGUCAGAUUAGCUUGUUGGUGGGGAAAAGCCUACCAAGGCGACGAUCUGUAGCUGGUCUGAGAGGACGACCAGCCACACUGGGACUGAGACACGGCCCAGACUCCUACGGGAGGCAGCAGUGGGGAAUUUUGGACAAUGGGCGCAAGCCUGAUCCAGCCAUGCCGCGUGCGGGAAGAAGGCCU